GCAGUAGCCGCGGUAAUACGUAGGGUGCAAGCGUUAAUCGGAAUUACUGGGCGUAAAGCGUGCGCAGGCGGUUUGUUAAGACAGAUGUGAAAUCCCCGGGCUCAACCUGGGAACUGCAUUUGUGACUGGCAAGCUAGAGUCUGGCAGAGGGGGGUGGAAUUCCGCGUGUAGCAGUGAAAUGCGUAGAUAUGCGGAGGAACACCGAUGGCGAAGGCAGCCCCCUGGGCCAACACUGACGCUCAUGCACGAAAGCGUGGGGAGCAAACAGGAUUAGAUACCCCCGUAGUCCCUGUCUCUUAUAC
rnacentral:rRNA from 1 species